UCAUCGAGGUUUCCCCUCGAAAAAGGGGAACGAAGAGGGAAUCACGUGCAAAUCGUGAGCUGUCGCGCAACUGUAAAUCACCGUUUUUUUUUCGGCUGGAUAUUAAAGCCAUUGGGUCGUUCUUGACCUGAGAAGGUGCCAAGUCGAAAGGUGAAAGCCAGGAGACCUGCCCCGUUG
rnacentral:ncRNA from 1 species